GUUGAGAUGGUAGCACUUGUAACAUCGAUGUGGGCUGUUAACCCGAAGGUCCCGGGUUCAAAUCCCGGCCUCAGCACCA
rnacentral:tRNA from 1 species